rnacentral:rRNA from 1 species
UGGUGCUCUUGCUCAGUUGGACCCACACCCAUCCCAUCUCGAACUGGGGAGUGAAAAAUCUGAGGGGACUAAGAAACUUGGUGGUAGACUACCCGGGAACUUAG